CUCAGCUGAACACCAUCCUCUCACUUUCCAUAAAGCAGAGCAGGGCUUUAUUCCAGCUUUGUUGGUUCUGGGCACAGGCAAGGCUCCUUGGGGCACUGGGAGCAGCACAGAGCUGAACUGAGCUCAGUGGGGUCUGCACUGGUGCGCAAAGAGCAGGCUGGGGAAGAGCUGUGCUGCCUGACAAACACAGAGCCAGAGGUGAAAAGGAACUUCAGACUUCAGCUUCCCAGGCAUUCAAAACCGACUUGGAUUCCCUUCUCCAUCUUAAAAGCUCCUCUAGCCCUGCCUGACUCCAAGGGCAGGAAGAGCCUUGGUUUUGCCACCCUUUUCCACCUCUCAGCCCUGUUGUUUUUUUCUCAGCAAGCAUAUUCUGAGUGCAAACUGUUGGGCUGAGAAGGGCAGAGCUCUUGCCCAGCUCUGCACCUGUGGGACCUGAGCCUCCCACUCGUGUCACCAUGAGGCUGGAUGAUGGGAAAAUCCUGCUGGUGACAGCUCUUUUGGGGGGACAGGGUGGCCUUUCACAGUUCCACAAAUACCCAGAAACUGACAGGGAUUUCUCAAAAUGUAUUUUUGCUGUUGCAAGUACUGUCAACCUUUGCUGAUACCUUUUGCUUGGGUUGUGAAGGAAGUGUUGGGCACUAAAAUAGAAAAUAUUUAUUUAAAGAAGUCAAAUGUUCUAAUUUUUCCUCUCUUGUGGUGGCUGUAAAUUAAUGGCAGUUCAGCGCUCUGCUGAAAUAAGUGGAGUGGGAUGGUGGGAGAGCUGUUUUUAGACAAAUAUAAAUAUAUACCACUUUAAUUGUGUAUAUUUAAUAUACACCCACUCAUUUGCUUUUUAAUGUGAACAAGGCUUCAGCAGGCUCCAAAGAGCAUUGAUGCCCACUCUCACUCUGCCCUGGAGCAGCCCCAGCCAGGGACCUCCAGCUUGUCCACAGGCAGGUUUUUAAGCAACUACAAGAUACUGCUCAAGGAGUCAAACAGCUCUUCCUGUGUCUGUGACUGUAGCCUGGAAAAAGGGCUCCACCCUUGCAAAAGCGGCAAAUUAGCAAAGGAAACAUAGGAGCCCCCUGGUCUGCUCAUUUCCCACAAGAUAUUACUGGGUGGUAAAAACCUCCUCAGCACAGCAACAACUGGCACAUGCUGCAAUGGAAAGUGGUCAGGCCUUGGGUUCUUCCCCACAUCUGUGGUUGUUUGCUUUUGGAAGGGGAAGAAGGUCUGCCCUGUAUUUGAAGGUUUUUCAGAAUCCUCUGCAGUGGCCCCAUCCUGCUGCCACUGAUAUCUGAUUGGGAAGUGUCUGACUGAUGCUGAUGAUCUCUGGAAGUCAGCUCCAAAUGCCCAAGUGCUGUGUUGGAAAGGAGGCAGGACACCCCAGCAAUGCUGCUGAGGGGCCCUCCAGAGCUUUUAGGCCACAGAGCUCUGCUUCUUUAUCUUACUUCACAUCUAUACACAGAUUUACCUUGAGUUUUUUGUGAUUUACUGUCAGGGAAAUAGCAUAGUACUUCUUUCCUUCAGCUUUGUAUUGGAGUGUAAUCACCAUCCGUAGCCAUGUGCAGAGAGCUGCAUCCUGGAGCUGUAAUUGCACUGGGGACACACCAUAAUGCAGAAUAAUAACUCGAUGCUAAUGAGCUCCAUGCAUUCAGUCAGGAUCAGACCUGCCAUCUCCCUUCCCAAUGCAAUUACUGCUGGCCUGCUCAUGCUGCUUUUCCAAGUGUAUGCUGAGGUUUGCAAUCAACAGGAGCAAGUCUCACUUCUGAUUUGUUUUUUGAGUUAUCCAACAAAGAAAGGCAAAGCCAGGACAGCAAAGCAGACAUGAAUCUGCAGGGCUCUCUUUAAUUUUCAGUUUAUCUGCAAUUUGAGGGAGCAAACACAGCCAUGCUGAAGAUGCAUAAAUACAGCUUGGAGUGCCAUUGAAAUCUAGGUCAAGGUUGCAGCUCUGCCUGGGAGUUUCAUUACCUGACUUGGGGAGACUCUGCUGUUCCAGGAGCCAGCUGGAGGACACUUCUGAGCCAGCACAAUGCAAGCAGGCUCAAAGGAUAUGCCAGUGGAGAAAUCUUCCUGCCUAAGGGGAAAUCCUGAAAGGAUGGGUCUGCUAUAAGACACUCACCAAUGCACAUUAUCUGCAAAAGACACUUGGUUUUUUGGCACCUGUGAUGCUGGGAUUGUGCUUCAGCAUGGGAGGAACAGUCUGUAGUGCAAGGAUCCUUCAGAAGGUCCCACAUGAGUUCCUGGUAUGACAAAACUACCCUUUAACCUCAAGCCAUGAGGCCAAGAAGAACAAAAAUCCCACAUCCAAUAAUGCAAAUGUGGGCUUGCCUCAGCCCUGUGUUCCCCUGCCAAAGAGGGGUGAGAGGGCUCUUUCCAGCCCCUGAAUGCUCCUAGGCCACCCAUGACCUGCACUGCAGCUGGCCUGGGUCUGCCUCUUCUCCCUGUGUGUUGCUCCUGCCCGUGGUGCUCACCUACAGCAGAAUAU